UACGGAGGGUGCAAGCGUUAUCCGGAUUCACUGGGUUUAAAGGGUGCGUAGGAGGGCAGGUAAGUCAGUGGUGAAAUCUUCGAGCUUAACUCGGAACUGCCGUUGAUACUAUCUGUCUUGAAUACCGUGGAGGUGAGCGGAAUAUGUCAUGUAGCGGUGAAAUGCUUAGAUAUGACAUAGAACACCAAUUGCGAAGGCAGCUUACUACCCGAAUAUUGACACUGAGGCACGAAAGCGUGGGGAUCAAACAGG
rnacentral:rRNA from 1 species